rnacentral:rRNA from 1 species
GACGAACGCUGGCGGCGUGCUUAACACAUGCAAGUCGAACGGACAGGCCCUGCUUUUGUGGGGUGCUCGAGUGGCGCACGGGUGAGUAACACGUGAGUAACCUGCCCUUGACUUUGGGAUAACUUCAGGAAACUGGGGCUAAUACCGGAUAGGAGCUCCUGCUGCAUGGUGGUGGUUGGAAAGUUUCGGCUGUUGGGGAUGGACUCGCGGCUUAUCAGCUUGUUGGUGGGGUAGUGGCUUACCAAGGCUUUGACGGGUAGCCGGCCUGAGAGGGUGACCGGCGACAUGGGGACUGAGAUACGGCCCAGACUCCUACGGGAGGCAGCAGGGGGGAAUAUUGCACAAUGGGCGGAAGCCUGAUGCAGCAACGCCGCGUGCGGGAUGACGGCCUUCGGGGUGUAAACCGCUUUCGCCUGUGACGAAGCGUGAGUGACGGUAAUGGGUAAAGAAGCACCGGCUAACUACGUG